GUACAGUUUAGCUACCGCGUACUCCGCUUUCUACCUGGACUGUAACUACGCUUGUCAUAUUCUCUGAAAUUUAGUACUCGUGACGAAUACUAGGCGUCGGAUUACUUAAGUCGUAGAAGGAUGAUGAUAGCCAUUGGAAGCUACUCCUUUCACGACUCGUGCCUCAUGGCAAAGGCGGAUACGACGAGGAUCGUAUACAAGGGCAAUACGUCAUGGCUGUAUUGCAGUCUAAAUCUCGGUACUUUUAUGGGCAGUAAAGUAAAACGUUCUGACAACAACUUCGGCUGCACGCCUUCGUCGCGAUCGCCGCAUACGCUGUGCGAUGCGUAGACCCUAGUCCUACCGGUCUAUCGGUAAUUGCUGACGUAAGGAUAAUGACAACAAUUCAGUUUGGGCAUACUGACCCUAAAGGAUCCUAUUGGACCUGAACUGAAGGUUCAAAACUCAAAUAACUUCUCGAAGGCCAUUUUUGAUGCGGCUACCGGAAACCGAGGACUUCGUUUCUGAAGAAAUACCAUUUGUAUGCGCAACGAACGGCCAAGCGGAGAUUGACGCGCGGCAGUGUUAACGAGACUUGUCUAUGUAUGGCAGAAUCCACUGUCGUGUUGGUCGUGACAAGAAAAAUACACGAUCUGGGAAACUUUGUGAGAGGGCGCCAGUAACGGGAUGCCUUUAAACUGGGGUACGGAAUGAUCUUGAGUAAAAUUCUUAGAAUUCUCUUAAUAGAAGGAAAGAAAAAAAAGGGGAGGAGGAGAUAUCUCUAGGAAUACUCAGUUUUUUCCUUCGGAUUCUUUUAAUAUGGGUCAAUAGAUUCCAGCUCGUAUAUUAAAUUUAAGUCCCAAAGGUUAAACAUGAUAAUUAUUGUUUCGCUUAUUUUUUUUUUAAUGAGCAUCCUCGAUCACUAUCCUUGGCAGGUUAACUCUUGGCGCGUUGUAUAAUUUUCCGUGUAAUAAUAACGCACGGCUUCCACGCUCCGUAUGCUUGCGAAUACUUAAACUGGUGAAUGUAAUGAGUGGCAGUAAUAUAGAAUCGAUAUGCCGUGGUGAUGGAUAGCAAUAAUGGUGCCGAGUGGAAAGUACGAAAUUGCAUUAAACUAUUAUUAACUAUUGGUUUUUGCGGAUUUCAACGGAUAUAAAAAAGGGGUGUAUGAUACGCCUGAGGUCCAUUGACGAUGAAAGUUAAGAAAAUCUAACAACGUUUUUGUGGAUUAUUAUAAGAAUAACGUCGAAGUAUCGUACCAAAGCGUUUUAAGAAAAAAUCAUGUUCGUAAAUUUUAUUACAUUGCCAAGUGUCCAUGCCUUCUACUUAUGUUAUUUGUAUUCCGAUAGUUUUCAUUAAUUUGAGACGUGCUACUUAUAAUUAUAAAUUGAUACAGUAGAUUCACGAGUAAAAUAAAAAGCCUAGGGGACUCAUGUAUAUUGACAACCUACAGGCUAGAUGGCCCCUCGAAAAUGAAUUUUAUUCGUGAACGAACUAUAAAUAUCCUUUAACAAUGUUACAAUUUCCUAAGAUGUUAAUAAGGGAUGUAAUUAGCUUAAUAGAGCCAUUUAUUAACAAACGGUCAGCUUUAUGGGC